GGGCGGCGUAGCUCAGAGACAGAGCGGCCCGAAAGGGCAGGUCGCAAGUUCACAUCUUGUCACGCCCG
rnacentral:tRNA from 1 species